rnacentral:rRNA from 1 species
AUUCCACUCUUCAACCCCUGUGCACUUGUUGUAGGUUUCAGGUCGGACGCGGGGCUUUUGACUUCAUCGUCGAGAGCCUCAAGGAAAGCCUGAGCCUAUGUUUUACCAUACACACGCUUCAGUAUAGAAUGUAAACAUCGCGUAUAACGCAUUUUAAAUACAACUUUCAGCAACGGAUCUCUUGGCUCUCGCAUCGAUGAAGAACGCAGCGAAAUGCGAUAAGUAAUGUGAAUUGCAGAAUUCAGUGAAUCAUCGAAUCUUUGAACGCACCUUGCGCUCCUUGGUAUUCCGAGGAGCAUGCCUGUUUGAGUGUCAUGGAAUUCUCAACCUUUGAAAGCUUUUAUCGGUUCUCAAAGGCUUGGACUUGGAGGUCGUGUCGGCUCUGCAAAGAAUCGACUCCUCUGAAACGUAUCAGUGCGAACCUUUACGGAUCGUCUUCGGUGUGAUAAACGUCUACGCCGUGGUCGUGAAGUAUGAUCGUGUCCGUGCUUCUAACCGUCUCCUUUGCGAGACAAAAACUGUGUUACUAUAAGUAACAUAGGCAUUGACAAUCUGACCUCAAAUCAGGUAGGACUACCCGCUGAACUUAAGCAUAUCAAUAAGCGGAGGAAAAGAAACU